AACGAACGCUGGCGGCAUGCCUAACACAUGCAAGUCGAACGAGACCUUCGGGUCUAGUGGCGCACGGGUGCGUAACGCGUGGGAACCUGCCCUUAGGUUCGGAAUAACUCCCCGAAAGGGGUGCUAAUACCGGAUAAUGUCUUCGGACCAAAGAUUUAUCGCCUUUGGAUGGGCCCGCGUUGGAUUAGCUAGUUGGUAGGGUAAAAGCCUACCAAGGCGACGAUCCAUAGCUGGUCUGAGAGGAUGAUCAGCCACACUGGGACUGAGACACGGCCCAGACCCCUCAGGAGGGCAACAGGGGGGAAAAUUGGACAAUGGGGGAAAGCCUAAACCAGCAAUGCCGGGUGAUUGAUGAAGGCCUUAGGGUUGUAAAGCUUUUUUACCCGGGAUGAUAAUGAAAGUACCGGGAGAAAAAGCCCCGGCUACCCCCGU
rnacentral:rRNA from 1 species